AUGGCAACAUCUUCAAAUACCUUCCCAUCCUCUCCAUUCGCUCACGUCGCCUCAGAGAAACUCACCAAGGGCAACCAGGCACUAUGGCGGGCGACGGUUCUGUCUGCCAUCCGAGGUGCUCAAAUGCAGAAGUACCUCAACGUCGAUCAUCCAGUGCCACCCAUGGAGCUGGAGGUCACGGACUCCGACGGGAAGACCAAGAAGAAGGCGCCCAACUCGGAGUUUCAAACCUGGUAUGCACAAGAUCAACAAGUUUUCUCACAUCUUCUGACAACACUGCCCCGUGAGAUGGCAAUUCAGGUUGCCACCUGCCACACCUCGACGGAGCUAUGGAACACGGUUCAGGGGAUGCUGGCCUCGCAGACCCGUGCCGCGACUGUGAAUGUCUGGAUCGCCCUCGCCAAUCUUCAGAAAGGAAACGGCUCCAUCACCGAGUACGUUGGCAAGAUCCGAACCCUCUGUGAUGAACUUGCCGCAGCAGGAAAGAGGGUGGACGAGGAGGAUGUUGUCUCCCACAUCCUGGCCGGGCUUGAAGAAGACUUCGACCCGGUGGUCUCCGCCAUGUGCUCCCGAGUGGAGCCAGUCACCGUGCCGGAGCUGUACUCACAGCUUGUCAACUUCGAGACACGGAUGAACCUCCGCCAUGGGGGAUCGCAGUCUUCGGUGAACGCGGUGACACGCGGGCGCGGCCGUGGCGGUGGUGACCAUGGCCGCGGCAAGCAAGGCAGCGGCAACUCUGGUGGUGAUCGCGGCCGUCCCUACACCAAGCAAAACGGCCGCGGCGGAGGUGGCAGGGGCAACUACAACAACUCUGCCUCUGCACCCAAGGUGGUGUGCCAGAUCUGUGGCAAGCCAGGCCACCCGGCCUGGAAGUGCUGGAAGCGCUAUGACGAGUCGUACCAGGGAGAAGAAGAGAAGUCCACCAACAUGGUGACGCCUCAGUAUGGGUGUCGGUGUCAAAACCGGCGGAUCUCGGGUAGGGGGUCCCGAACUGUGCGUCUAGGCGGAUGGUAA
rnacentral:rRNA from 1 species